rnacentral:rRNA from 1 species
GAUGAACGCUGGCGGCGUGCUUAACACAUGCAAGUCGAACGAGAGCACAGAGAGAGCUUGCUUUUUCUACUAUCGAGUGGCGGACGGGUGAGUAAUGCAUAAACAACCUGUCCUACGGGUGGGAACACGAGCUGGAAACGCCUGUAACUACCCAUAACUUUCACAACGUCGCACAACUGUCAGAAGCAAGUUUGGCGUCUCUUUUUGAGGUAUCUGCGUCGGAUUAGCUAGUUGGUGAUGUAACGGCUCACCAAGGAAACGAUCCGUAGCCGGUCUGAGAGGAUGAUCGGCCACACUGGAACUGAGACACGGUCCAGACUCCUACGGGAGGCAGCAGUGGGGAAUCUUCCGCAAAGGGCGAAAGCCUGACGGAGCAACGCCGCGUGAGUGAAGAAGGCCUUCGGGUUGUAAAGCUCUGUUAUUGGGGAAGAAUAAACGUGUGGUUAAUACCCACGGUAAUGACCGUACCCAAAAAAGAAGGCCAGGCUAACUUCGUU